UUCGCCCUUUUUUCCCUUUUAGCAGCAAUCUACUUCACAUCCAUUUUCCCCUUUUGGCAAAAUCUAUUUCACAUCAAUUUAUCCCUCUUAUGCUAAGUCAAAGUGGAGAAUCUACACAUCCGUAGAUAAAGGUAAAAUUUUUUUAGUUCAAUUUGUUUAAUGGGUAAUAUGAACUAUGAAAAUGAUGAUUUGUGGGGUUGAAUUAUUGAAGGGGUUCUGCCUCUAGAAUAAAUUCAUCUACAGAUAAAGGAUUAUUUUUCAGUUUUGUCAUAUUCAGUGGUGGUGGCGAUUAGUUCGUCGUUGGAGGUUUGAUGUGGUGGUGGUGGUGAUUAGUAGGUCGUUGGAGGUUUGAUCUGGUGGUGUUCGUGGGGCUAUGGCUGAUCUAUCGACAUUGGGAAGAUAUUUUUCUUAUUUGAUUAUGAGGAUAGAAGCUUCGUUUCACUCUCAAAGGGCCCUCACGACAAUACGCGUAGACUCACGCGCAAAAAGAGGAAAAUCUACUAAGAAAUGAAAUCAUUGACUCUAAUUUAUCGGAUUCAGCUCAGUCACCAUUCAACUUACUUCUCAAGAGUAACUACAGUUUCUGCAAAAGCUAAAAGAGCUAAAAAUGUCAAGUUCUGUGAACGAAGAUCAAGAACAGAGAAAAAAUACUAGCAUGGAAGACCCAAAGUCAAUGACAAUUGAGUUUCUUCGGGCAAGAUUGUUAUCUGAGAGAUCUGUCUCAAAAUCAGCAAGACAGAGAGCUGAUGAACUGGCCAAGAGGGUGAGUUACAAUAUUUGAUCUACUCCUCUCCGUCUCACAUUGUUUAUCAUGUAAUAUGUAUUGACUUUUUUGGCCCGUUGGACCAUGGUUUCAAUUAAAAUUGGACUUAAUUUAACUUAGAUUCGGAAGUAACGUUGGAAUCUGUAAACUACAUUCAAAUUUCUAGCUUCAUUUCCUGAAACAAAGUAAAUAAUGAUUGUUCUGCUUCAAGAAUUGGUUAAAUUGACUGAAAAAGUGAACCUGUGACAAACAAUGUGGAACAAAGGGUGUAUAUGGAAGUGGGAAGGCAUGUACUGGCCUCUUUCUGCUCUCUUCUCCACCUUCCCUGUUCAUAAAGUUGUUCAUAAAUUUCAGCUGGUUUAACUGUCCUCAAAUUAUAAAAUCUCACCCCCCCCCCCCCCCCCCCCCCCCC